AUGGCGACCGGCGCACGGGUGAGUAACACGUAUCCAACCUGCCGAUAACUCGGGGAUAGCCUUUCGAAAGAAAGAUUAAUACCCGAUGGUAUAAUCAGACCGCAUGGUUUGAUUAUUAAAGAAUUUCGGUUAUCGAUGGGGAUGCGUUCCAUUAGGCAGUUGGUGAGGUAACGGCUCACCAAACCUUCGAUGGAUAGGGGUUCUGAGAGGAAGGUCCCCCACAUUGGAACUGAGACACGGCCCAG
rnacentral:rRNA from 1 species